UACAGAGGAGCCAAGCGUUGUCCGGAUUGACUGGGCGUAAAGCGCACGCAGGCGGUCGUGCGCGUGGGGUGUGAAAUCUGGCCGCUUAACGGCCAGGCGCCAUCCCAUACGGCACGACUGGAGCGAUGCAGGAGGUCGGUGGAAUUGCCGGUGUAGUGGUGAAAUUCGUAGAUAUUAGGAGGAACACCGGUGGCGAAGGGCGGCCAUCUAGCACAUAACUGACGCUGUUGCACGAAAAGCGUGGGGAGCCAAACAGGG
rnacentral:rRNA from 1 species